ACAACGAAGAGUUUGAUCCUGGCUCAGGAUGAACGCUAGCGACAGGCUUAACACAUGCAAGUCGAGGGGCAGCACAGGUAGCAAUACCGGGUGGCGACCGGCGCACGGGUGAGUAACGCGUAUGCAACUUGCCUAUCAGAGGGGGAU
rnacentral:rRNA from 1 species